UCCUAUCUAUGAGAAAAUGUAUUCUGAGUAGGAAUAGUAGGUUCAUGCUGAUUGCUGGAGUCAGAAAAUCCUUUAAGUCACGCGAAAAUAGGGGUAGAAAGCAAUUUUAUUCCAUCUCUCACAUCUCUUCCGCUACUUUUUGGUUUCUACUUUCUGCAACAGUGCUUCUGUGGUUCUGCUCCUAUCUCCAUCCUCCUUUUUCUUUUAGCCUUCUUGUUUCCUAAAACCAAUUAGGUCCUGGAAUUAUGAAAAGCAAGAGAGUGCUGAAUUGAUGUGAGAAACAUGUGAUAGCUUUUUAUUUGAAAAGGCCUAGGCAUAGUGGAAUAUUGAAUAACAUUUGUUCUUCCUGUCCAAAUAGCUAAACCGAGAAGAUACUUGAAAAAUGAACUGGACUUAUUAUUAAGUUGCCUGAUAAAACACAUCUGUAAUAGCUCUUGUAUGGUUUAAAUCUGCUAUUUCAAUUUUGACUCUUGUUCCUUCCAAGUUCAAUGGAUGUGUUGGAAACCUGUAAAUUAGCCA
rnacentral:misc_RNA from 1 species